rnacentral:rRNA from 1 species
GUGAGGAAUUUUCCGCAAUGGGCGAAAGCCUGACGGAGCAAUGCCGCGUGAAGGAUGAAGGCCUAUGGGUUGUAAACUUCUUUUCUUAGAGAAGAAUAUUGACGGUAUCUGAGGAAUAAGCAUCGGCUAACUCUGUGCCAGCAGCCGCGGUAAUACAGAGGUCUCAAGCGUUGUUCGGAAUUAUUGGGCGUAAAGGGCCCGUAGGCGGGAAGGUGUGUUGACCUGUAAAUCUAUCGUUUCAAGCGGUAGGCUUGGGUUGAAACUGCCUUUCUAGAGGAUUUCAGGGGAGUUUGGAAUUUACGGUGUAGCAGUGAAAUGCGUGGAUAUCGUAAGGAAGGCUUGUGGCGAAGGCGAAACUCUGGGGAAUACCUGACGCUGAGGCGCGAAGGCUAGGUUAGCAAACGGGAUUAGAUACCCGUGUAGUCC